UUACGGUCAUGUCACGUUGAAACACCGGUUCUCGUACGAUCACUGAGGUUAAGCAACGUCGUGCCAGGUCAGUACCUACAUCGGAAACCGCUUGGGAAUACCUGGUGCUGUAAG